rnacentral:rRNA from 1 species
UACGUAGGGGGCAAGCGUUGUCCGGAAUUAUUGGGCGUAAAGAGCUCGUAGGCGGCCUGUUGCGUCCGCUGUGAAAUCCCGGGGCUUAACCCCGGGCUUGCAGUGGAUACGGGCAGGCUGGAGGCAGGCAGGGGAGAAUGGAAUUCCUGGUGUAGCGGUGAAAUGCGCAGAUAUCAGGAGGAACACCGGUGGCGAAGGCGGUUCUCUGGGCAUUACCUGACGCUGAGGCGCGAAAGCGUGGGGAGCAAAUAGG